rnacentral:rRNA from 1 species
CCGCACGGGUGAGUAACGCGUAUCCAACCUGCCGUCUACUCUUGGACAGCCUUCUGAAAGGAAGAUUAAUACAAGAUGGCAUCAUGAGUUCACAUGUUCACAUGAUUAAAGGUAUUCCGGUAGACGAUGGGGAUGCGUUCCAUUAGAUAGUAGGCGGGGUAACGGCCCACCUAGUCUUCGAUGGAUAGGGGUUCUGAGAGGAAGGUCCCCCACAUUGGAACUGAGACACGGUCCAA